rnacentral:rRNA from 1 species
GACGAACGCUGGCGGCGUGCUUAACGCAUGCAAGUCGAACGGAAAGGCCCUGCUUUUGUGGGGUGCUCGAGUGGCGAACGGGUGAGUAACACGUGAGUAACCUGCCCUUGACUUUGGGAUAACUUCAGGAAACUGGGGCUAAUACCGGAUAGGAGCUCCUGCUGCAUGGUGGGGGUUGGAAAGUUUCGGCGGUUGGGGAUGGACUCGCGGCUUAUCAGCUUGUUGGUGGGGUAGUGGCUUACCAAGGCUUUGACGGGUAGCCGGCCUGAGAGGGUGACCGGCCACAUUGGGACUGAGAUACGGCCCAGACUCCUACGGGAGGCAGCAGUGGGGAAUAUUGCACAAUGGGCGGAAGCCUGAUGCAGCAACGCCGCGUGCGGGAUGACGGCCUUCGGGUUGUAAACCGCUUUCGCCUGUGACGAAGCGUGAGUGACGGUAAUGGGUAAAGAAGCACCGGCUAACUACGUGCCAGCAGCCGCGGUGAUACGUAGGGUGCGAGCGUUGUCCGGAUUUAUUGGGCGUAAAGGGCUCGUAGGUGGUUGAUCGCGUCGGAAGUGUAAUCUUGGGGCUUAACCCUGAGCGUGCUUUCGAUACGGGUUGACUUGAGGAAGGUAGGGGAGAAUGGAAUUCCUGGUGGAGCGGUGGAAUGCGCAGAUAUCAGGAGGAACACCAGUGGCGAAGGCGGUUCUCUGAGCCUUUCCUGACGCUGAGGAGCGAAAGCGUGGGGAGCGAACAGGCUUAGAUACCCUGGUAGUCCACGCUGUAAACGGUGGGUACUAGGUGUGGGGUCCAUUCCACGGGUUCCGUGCCGUAGCUAACGCUUUAAGUACCCCGCCUGGGGAGUACGGCCGCAAGGCUAAAACUCAAAGGAAUUGACGGGGCCCCGCACAAGCGGCGGAGCAUGCGGAUUAAUUCGAUGCAACGCGUAGAACCUUACCUGGGUUUGACAUGGAUCGGGAGCGCUCAGAGAUGGGUGUGCCUCUUUUGGGGUCGGUUCACAGGUGGUGCAUGGCUGUCGUCAGCUCGUGUCGUGAGAUGUUGGGUUAAGUCCCGCAACGAGCGCAACCCUUGUUCACUGUUGCCAGCACGUUAUGGUGGGGACUCAGUGGAGACCGCCGGGGUCAACUCGGAGGAAGGUGGGGAUGACGUCAAGUCAUCAUGCCCCUUAUGUCCAGGGCUUCACGCAUGCUACAAUGGCUGGUACAGAGAGUGGCGAGCCUGUGAGGGUGAGCGAAUCUCGGAAAGCCGGUCUCAGUUCGGAUUGGGGUCUGCAACUCGACCUCAUGAAGUCGGAGUCGCUAGUAAUCGCAGAUCAGCAACGCUGCGGUGAAUACGUUCCCGGG